rnacentral:ncRNA from 1 species
CAUAGUAAGGAUUGACAGACUAGGAGCUCUUUCGAGAUUCUAUGGGUGAUCGUGCAUGACCAUUCUUAGUUGGUGGAGCAAUUUGUCUAGUUAAUUCCGUUAACGAACGAGACCUCAGCCUGCUAACUAGUUAUGCAAAGGUAUCCCUCCGCGACCAGCUUCUUAGGGCAACCAGACAAAUCGCUCCACCAACUAAGAACGGUCAUGCACC